AGAUUUUCUUUCUAAAAUGUGCAUAAAUCUGCUGAUUCUGUCUAGACGUGGUUGUGGGUGAUAAGCUGUCAAGAUGACUUAAAGAAAGACAGUUUUUGUUAAAUAAAGGAUCACAGCAGUGAAAGAAUCUAAGAAGCAGAGUUUCCCCUGGGCGAUGGAGAAACUUUAAGGCCUGCUGGUUUUUGAAGCCUGUGAGUCUCAUCCUCUUCCUCUGGCCUUCAAAGAUCAUCUCACCACAGAUGGAACGUUAACCUAGAGAUUUAAACAAGGUCUUCUUAUAUCCAAAACAUCUAUCAGCAUGUGAUACAUCGCACUGGGGUGUUUGUGACCUUUUCUCGAGAGAUGAAAGCCUCGACUCACACUUUCAUCUAAAGCAACAGCCACCGAGAUUUCAAGACACUGUUUCUGGACGGCAUGUGACGUCAUACGUCUCAACUAUAAAGACGAGCAAAAAUGUCACGCACAGAAACAACGGCUGUCUGUAAAGUUUGUAAAUGUCACUGCUGAAGAAAGAAGGAAUAAUGAUGGACAAUUAAUCUACUUUCAUUCCGUCCCUGUAAUACAAUUUGAGUUGAGUUAUAAUAUGGAUCAAUGUUUAAUGCAUUAAUGUCAAGUGCAACAUCACCAUUAAAUCAUUAAAGAAUUUGAAUAAACAUG